ACCCCUACGGGCGGCAGCAGUGGGGAAUAUUGGACAAUGGGCGCAAGCCUGAUCCAGCAAUGCCGCGUGAGUGAGGAAGGCCUUAGGGUUGUAAAGCUCUUUCACCCGCGACGAUGAUGACGGUAGCGGGAGAAGACGCCCCGGCUAACUUCGUGCCAGCAGCCGCGGUAAUACGAAGGGGGCGAGCGCUGUUCGGUUUUACUGGGCGUAAAGGGCGCGCAGGCGGCUCGUUUUGUCAGGCGUGACAGCCCCGGGCUUAACCUGGGAACUGCGCUUGAAACGGGGGGGCUAGAGUUCGGGAGAGGAGAGUGGAAUUCCCAGUGUAGAGGUGAAAUUCGUAGAUAUUGGGAAGAACACCGGUGGCGAAGGCGGCUCUCUGGACCGAGACUGACGCUGAGGCGCGCAAGCGUGGGGAGCAAACAGGAUUAGAUACCCGAGUAGUCC
rnacentral:rRNA from 1 species